GAUCAUAUAAGUGGUAAUUAUGGUAAAAAGAAGCCUGUGAUAGCCAUAAUCAUUUCUUCAUUGGUAGCGUUUCUUCUGUUUGUGUGCUUGCUUCAACUCCUGUGGAGGAAGAACAGAAAAAGAAAGCAAGGUACUUACCCCUUUACCUACACAAACAGACAUGAUCUAUCACUUAUACCAGCUAUUAUAUAAAAUGAUGAAUUGUACUUCUAGUAUUAGCAUUGAUUUCUUUAACAUUUCUCAGAACAGAUUUCAUCAACAUUUGGCACUAAGAAUCCAUCAAAUAAUUUUAUGCCUACUAGCAACAUACAAUAGUAUUCAAUGCUCAAGCUAACAAGUACUAUGAUUUCAUUCAGGUUGUGCAAUACAUAGAAUAAUUAAGUUGACAUCUCUCAUGAGUCCAUUAGAAGUGCAACGUAUUGGUCCUGUGCACCAAAUAGCAUUCUUUAGAUAACUUAAGGCACAAACGACCACUUCAUCUAUGUCAAAGAAUUUUGGUCAAAUUACAAGCAUUUCACUCCUAUCUUUAUUCUCUAGUUUAUUUCUAUAGAGCUAGUUUGUGGAUGCCUUGAUACAUCACAAUCCUUCUUGGAAUUGAUGUCUAAGAAAAGCUAGACAAGGAAUGAAAAUUCUCUUCAGAACCAAAACAUAUGAGCAAAUGUCAAGCUCAUUGUAAUUAGAGGUGGCAAUCGGGCCGGAUCAGCCCAAUUACGAGUCUGGUCGGAUACAAAAUAGAUCAAAAAUCUGUCUAUUCAAACCCGACUUAUUUAUUAAACAGGUCAAAAAUCCAGACCCAUGCUUGACCGUUUUAUUAAACAAGUAAUCCAAGCCAACCUACAACAGAUUGAAUCAAGUUAGAUAGGUUAAGGAUUGCCACCACUAAUAUUUGCAAUGGAAGUGUUUUUUAAUGUUCUACAAAAAGGUUCAGUUGAGCAUUUCCCUUCUAGAAAAAGUUGUGGCCAAGAAAUAACAAUUAGUGAACAUAUUGAUUAGUAAAUGAUCCCUAGGGAUGAAAAAUGAUGCAAUAAAGACCAAUAUGGUGGAAAGAUGCUAAUUCUCUUGUUCUCUUCCUCCAUCCAUUUAACACCUUAAUGUUGAGUCUGACUUGGCUCAAUUUUAGUUAAAUAAGGACUAAUUUCUCCCAUGAUUCUCCAUCUACAUUUACAUUCUGUAGAUAUUUUUUUUGGUUUAGCUUUUGUGUUUAUUGUGUCUCAAGGGGAGAAAGCUGUAGCUGCGAAUGGUCGUUGGGUAUCCUCUAACAUGUUUUUGGUAUCCAAAAGCUUGUCUAAGACAAGUCGUGUGCAUAUCGCUUUCUAGAGCUGCCAAAGCUCUAUGGCCAUUACGGAUGGAAGAUGCAAGAUCUUUAGGCGUCACCUAUAUUCAGAUAACAGUUUAGAAGUAACUCUAAGAAGAAUUUUAUGUAAAUAAAAAAUCAAUACAAUAUAUAUUCUCAAAAACCAAAAAGAAAUCUAUUAGAAAACUUUCAAAAUUGUUUUAAGCAAAAAAGGAAAGCAAUAUUAUACAAGGAUACAUAUGGUAUGACGUACUAGAAAAGACACAUAAAAGAAAUCAUGACCUGGACCGAACCAUGUGAAUCCAAUGCCCCAAAAACUGCAUCACCACAGCACAACCCAAUGCCUCCCCAAUGAAUAUGGUUCUGGUGGAGAAAAUAAAGCCCCUCAUUUCACACCAUGCCCAAGAUAGAGAAUAAUACAGUGGUUAUUCAACACUAACAGCUGGUAACUGAGCUAGCUGGCAUCCAUCUCUCCAAGUGAGAGGUCUCGUAUUCAAACCUGAGUAGUGGCAAAUAACUAUCUUAUUCUCAAAAAAGAUAAGGGAAAGAUAAAAAAAAUCCAAAGUAGAACAAUCAAGAGAGAAGCUCGUACUGCUAUUAACAACAGAGAAAACAGACUUGAGAAUGUGGAGGCUCUAAACAAGAAUGGAAAUGAGAGAGCCAGAAGCUCACAAAGCCAUCGAUCAAAUGACCAACAACUCCUUAACAAAAACAAUACCAACGGCUAAUUAAAUCAUGUUCAUAGCUGUCCCAUGAUCCAGUAUUCACCCCAUAUACAAAAUAUGCAUAUAUUAGUAGUUGGUAGUAUAAUAUUAUAAGCUCCAGAAAAAUCACAGAAAAUAUAUUAUAGUCAGUCUGGUUGUAAGAAAUAACUAACAUGUCCCAAUUGACGAGCAUUUUCAAUUGUAUUAAAUGCUUUUGUCUUGAAUAUAUGUAUUCACAUAUGAUAUUCUGAUAUAUUUCUUCACAAGUUGCCCUUGGUAGUUGCAACUCUAUCCAUCUACAUUUGUUGCGCUUGGUAGUUGGUAACUCUACCCAUCUAUAUUUCCUUGGCAUAUUAUUUGAAAACAAACUUGCAUGGCUUGUUGCAUUUGUUUUUAUUAUGUUCUGCAGGCUUGUUCUACAUUGAUAAUGACUACAUUAUUACCUCAAUAUUGUUUAACAUUAAUAUGCUAAUUAGGUACAUGUACAUGUGUGUGUGUAAUGAGGAAAGACAAGGACAGGGCCCCCAUAAUCUAUUAGUAUAAAUGACAUUUGCAGGCUAAUAAAGGAAGAAAUUACAAUAUAUUCGAUAAUCUCUACUGAACCAUGGCAUGACUUUCAGCUUUCUUUCCAGUGCAGAGUGACCCCCAAGGUUAAAACGAUCUAAGCAUGGUUUCUAGAACAGACCUUGCUGAGCCCUGAUUGUUACCUAGUAGAUUCUUUAGCUCUUGAUACCUAGCACUCUGUCAACCAUAAAUUCCACAUUUGUACCCAUGUGAAUACAUACUUGUAAAUCAAUUAAAAUAAUUGCUGUCUUGAAUGAAAUUUUACAAGUAUUAUUUUUGUUUACAAGUAUUAUUUUUUUGGGAUGGAGAUGCAAGUACAGUUGAGUUCAAGAAUCUCACAUAAUUGAUUUUGUUAUACUAAACUUUCAUGCUAGGUAAAACAAUUAGUACCCACUACAAGGAAAGCAGAGGAAAUGAGCCAGAGUUACCUUUAUUUGAUAUACAUACAAUAAGAACUGCCACCAAUAACUUUUCUGAUGAUAAUAAACUUGGAGAGGGUGGAUUUGGCCCUGUUUACAAGGUAAUUUUUUUGAUUAUACGGCAUACUACUAUUUGAUCCUACAGUUAUGCAAGAUAUAAACUCUUUGAAAAAAGAGCAUUGUGGAACUCACCUAAAUAUAGCAAUUAGCAGGGUCAGUUGGAAGAUGGAGAAAAUAUUGCUGUCAAGAGGUUGUCCAAAGAUUCUGUGCAGGGCAUACACGAAUUCACAAAUGAGGUGGUGCUGAUAGCCAAACUUCAGCACAGAAAUCUUGUUCGCCUUCUCGGCUGCUGCAUUGAAGGAGAGGAACGAUUGCUGGUGUAUGAGUACUUGCAAAAUACAAGUUUGGACUGUUUCAUAUUCGGUUUGGUCUUUAUCCUUGCACCAUUUGACUACUUUAUGCUCUAUAUACAAUGCAAUGUCUGAUGGACAUCUAGCAAGCUUAGUGACUAUAUUUGAUUUAGUUGAUCAUCAUGCAUUCUCAGACUUCUGCUUAGCUCUUCUAAGUAGGUAAACUAUGCAGGAUUUUAGAAAACUAAGACUGGAUUAUGAGGCAAUGAUUAACAAUUAAGAUGGAUAUAUUUUUCUUCCAUAUCAGGUUAAAUUAUUUCAAACAUAAUAAUUGUUAAUUAAGCUUAGACCACCAUGAAGAAUAUCUAUCUAACUUUUCAGACACUAUAUAGAUUUUUAUCAUUCAAAAAAAAAGGGUAUAUGGCAUGAAUUUGUAGGGACUGAAAUUAUCACAGAAUGCAUUUUAGUUAAUCAAGUUGGUUAUUUUAAAAGAUCAAAAGAGGUGGUGGUGAUGGUGGCUGUAGAUAAUCUGACUCGUCUAACUUGGCACUUACUUUACGCUUAAUCUCACCACCACGUAUUAGAUCUCCUAUUGAAAUGAAAUGGGCAGAAUCUCAACCUCACAUCAUUGCUAAUAAACUAAGGUGCAAAAUUAUUUUAUUUCAUCUAGUAUAACGAUUAGCAUAUAAGGCAUUCUUCCUGGUGCUAAAUAUAAGUUCAACUUAUGAUUAUAAGGUUAAUCAAGGAUUUAAAGAGUAUAAUAUUUCUAAAUGAUAAAUUAUGUUUAUUUGAAAUAUGUAGUGGACUUAUCUCAAAGGGGAAAAGGUAAAGAACAAGUAGCUAAGUUGAAUUUCAGACUACAUUUGUCAAACUAAUAAGAAGUGUAACUUUGGACCAGAUAGGACAAGAAGUGCACUUUUGAAUUGGCAAAAGCGCCUCGACAUCAUCUUAGGAAUUGCUCGAGGACUUCUUUACCUUCACCGAGACUCUAGGUUGAAAAUUAUUCACAGAGAUCUGAAGACCAGUAAUAUUCUUCUUGAUGAGGAGCUGAACCCAAAAAUCUCAGACUUCGGCACUGCAAGAAUUUUUAAGGUUGACCAAAUUGAAGAGAAUACAAUCAGAGUUGUUGGGACAUAGUAAGUACAUAAGUGUAUCAAUUCAUAAAGUAUAAACCUGAGUGCAAUAUCCUAGAUGCAUAAACUAAUUUUGUUAAUGACAUGCAGUGGAUAUAUGUCACCGGAGUAUGCAAUGGAUGGUAUCUUUUCAGUGAAAUCAGAUGUCUUCAGCUUUGGUGUUCUAGUGUUAGAAAUCUUAAGUGGUAAGAAGAACAGAAUGAUCAAUCAAGCAAAAGCUCGUUUAAACCUUUUAGGACAUGUGAGUACUCGAAUGCAAUAAUGUCAUCAUUCUAAAUAUAACUUCUAGUUGUUCAUUCUAAACAUACAUGGGUUAUCACAGGCAUGGGGACUAUGGACAGAAGGUAGAUGCUUGGAAAUACUUGAUGAAGCAGUGGGAUGUGCAUAUCCAGAGUCUAAAGUAUUACGGUGUAUCCAAGUGGCUCUCUUGUGUGUGCAAGAAGGGAGUGAAGAUAGACCGACAAUGGCAGAGGUAGUGCUCAUGUUAGGCACUGAAAGUGCACUGCUACCUCAGCCUAAAAGGCCAGGCUUCUGCAUAGCUGCUCCUUUGAUGGAAAGAGAUUGGUCUUCCAGCAAUAAACUUACAGUUACAAUUGAAGGUCGAUAGAAAUCUCUGACAUGAGUUUUUUUUUGUGUGUGUGUGUGUUUGUGUGGGGAUUCUACAAAUAUAUUAGUCAGGCACGGUUCAAAGUAUCUUACUAUGAUUUUAAUUGUUCGUAUGCCUUUUCAUUAUCUCUAUAAAUCCAACUAGGGAUUUCAUUGAAAAAAUGUUCAAAGUAGCAAAUUCUCCUCAGUUUCACGGAGAUAAGAUUAAGAGAUUCAGGUGUAAGAAAGAAAAAACAGUGCUUCCAGAUACAAACAUAGUUCGCACUACCAAUGCAUUUAAAGAACAUAAUAUAUGCAAAAACUGUUCCUACACAAACAAGAAUAAUAAGUGAAGAAGAGCAAAAACCAAAAUCGAUUUUGCGAUUUUAGGUGACAGUGAGUGAAUAGGAAUAAAACUUCAAAAAUAUUAUCCAGAACAUUAUCGCAAAUGCAGUAGUGAUAUUAAAACUAGUUCACUGGCAUCAAAAACAUUAUCUUUGGAUUUUCUAACUAUAAAAUAUUAGAACAGAAUACAUUUUCACCUGAGGUAUUCCAACAGAGUCCCCUGAGUUGGAGAAUUUGUCAUUAGAUAAUGCUAAAAUAAACAAUAUAUAAACAAAUGAAAUUUUCACACAUCUUAUAUAUCUUCUUACAAUAUACUAUUCCUUACUUCCUUCCCAUCAUCUCUUUCCACCACCACACCCCAGAUCCUCUCAUCAUCAGUUCCGUCAGAGUCCCCCCCAUGCAUCUAAGCCACCAUGGUCCCUACUACCUUCACCCUUUGCCCUCCUUUUGAUUAGAAUUUUCAUUCAUAUUUGGUUAAAGGAAGCAACGCUGCACCAUAUUUUCAGUAGCACUGUGAAAAUUUUAAAAAAAUAAACACCGAACAUGGUCCAACCUACCGUUAUGUCCAUUGGCACUGCACCAAGAUCCUCUCUUUCUUCAUCAUCUACUCGGUUAAGUUACCGCCCUUCUGUCACUUCCCUUAGUUUCAGUUUUUGAAACUAAAACAGAAAAUAUUAAUGAUAAUACGAAUCAAGAAAUAGAAGAAACUAACGAUGAAUCAAAACCCCACAAGCUCAAACCCUCUAAGAAUUGAUGAAAACCCCCACUGGAACAAGAACCAGUUAAUUUCCUCUGGAACUCAAAAAAACAAGUGAAGCAAAAAUCGAAACCCUAGGUCAGAAACACUCGGCAUUUGUUCAAAACCCUGAAAGGACCAAGGAUCUCAUGAAAGGAAGAACAAGAAGAGUGAAGGGGAGAAGAAAGAGAGGAGAGAUGAGAGAUAGAAUGCCGAAAGCACCGGUGAAGAUUCGUAGUGGAUAGGGGAUCAUGAACUUCCAAUGGCCAUACCUCCCGUCCACACGAGGGGGCUCCAUUGCUUCGACUCUCUCCCUCUCCCUCUCCCUCUCCCCGUCGUGUUCUG
rnacentral:lncRNA from 1 species